rnacentral:rRNA from 1 species
CUACGGGGUGCACCAGUGGGGAAUAUUGCACAAUGGGCGCAAGCCUGAUGCAGCCAUGCCGCGUGUAUGAAGAAGGCCUUCGGGUUGUAAAGUACUUUCAGCGGGGAGUAAGGGAGUAAAGUUAAUACCUUUGCUCAUUGACGUUACCCGCAGAAGAAGCACCGGCUAACUCCGUGCCAGCAGCCGCGGUAAUACGGAGGGUGCAAGCGUUAAUCGGAAUUACUGGGCGUAAAGCGCACGCAGGCGGUUUGUUAAGUCAGAUGUGAAAUCCCCGGGCUCAACCUGGGAACUGCAUCUGAUACUGGCAAGCUUGAGUCUCGUAGAGGGGGGUAGAAUUCCAGGUGUAGCGGUGACAUGCGUAGAGAUCUGGAGGAAUACCGGUGGCGAAGGCGGCCCCCUGGACGAAGACUGACGCUCAGGUGCGAAAGCGUGGGGAGCAAACAGGAUUAGAUACCCCAGUAGUC